CUACGGCCAUAUCACAUUGAAACACCGACUCCCUUACGAUCGCCAAAGUUAAGCAACGUCGAGCCUGGUCAGUACCAAUAUGGGUUACCGCUUGGGAAUACCAGAUGUUGCAA